AUCGCUUCUCGGCCUUUUGGCUAAGAUCAAGUGUAGUAUCUGUUCUUAUCAGUUUAAUAUCUGAUGCGUCCUCUAUCCGAGGACAAUAUAUUAAAUGGAUUUUUGGAGCUGGGAGUUGGAAUGGGAGCUUGCUCCGUCCACUCCA
rnacentral:snRNA from 1 species